CACUGGACAACAUGGCACAGAAUACUCAAUGAAGGGGCGCCUGGGUAGCUCAAUUACAGGAAGUCCAGAGCUGAUGAAAGGACGACAUCAAAGACCAAGAUUCCCUUCAGCAUCCUGAUCUACCACGUAGUAGGACAGGAGGCUGCUGUAGCUCUUAAGUUUGGUGACACUCCACAAGGAACCAAAAAAACGUUUACUCCCUUUAAGAAGCACAAGACUACGAAGAGAAGUGGCUCCUCCACUCCCUGCCGAGGGCCCAGUUCUGGGUUCCUGCUUUGGACCAGCCUGUCCCACCGAGACGAGCCUUGAGGAUGUCUUCUUGCAGGAGAGGGGUUUCUCCCUGCCUUCCCAGGAGGCCCUACCUUAAGCAGUUGGCAUUCUACUCCCUGUGUUCUCCACCUGUCACCUGCUCUCUUGCCUUAUUUUGAGCUCCCAUUUUUCUCCAUCUCAAUUUCUAAAUACAUGCCUUCCUUCGCU